rnacentral:rRNA from 1 species
AAUUGACGGGGGCCCGCACAAGCGGUGGAGCACGUGGCUUAAUUCGAUGCAGAGCGAAGAACCUUACCAGGGCUUGACAUGUCGCCCUCUUGAAAGAGAGGGGUGCCUUCGGAAACGGGGGCAACGCGGACACAGGUGGUGCAUGGCUGUCGUCAGUUCGUGCCGUGAGGUGUUGAGUUCAGUCUCGCAACGAGCGGAACCCUCGUGUUUAGUUGCCACUAUUGAGUUGGAACCCUGAACAGACUGCUGGUGUUAAGCCGGAGGAAGGCGAGGAUCACGUCAAGUCAUCAUGCCCCUUAUGCCCUGGGCGACUAUUACGUGCUACAAUGGACGGGACAAAGGUCGCGAUCAGAUCUCAGAUCACGCGCGCGAUCCCGCGAGGGUGAGCUAACUCCAAAAACCCGUCCUCAGUUCGGAUUGCAGACUGCAACUCGUCUGCAUGAAGCAGGAAUCGCUAGUAAUCGCUGGUCAGCCACACGGCGGUGAAUUCGUUCUCGGGUCUUGUACACACCGCCCGUCACACUAGGGGAGCUGGCCUUGUUUGAAAGCUUUAAAACCUGAACCGCAAGGAAGGGUAUGCAGAAGGCAAGGCGAGUGACUAAAGUGAAGUCGUAACAAGGUAGCCGAAUCGA